rnacentral:rRNA from 1 species
GGCACAAGCGGUGGAGCAUGUGGUUAAUUUCGAUGAUACGCGAGGAACCUUACCUGGGCUCAAAUGUAUGUUGACGUAUUCUGAAAGGGAUACUUCUUCGGACAAUAUACAAGGUGCUGCAUGGUUGUCGUCAGCUCGUGCCGUGAGGUGUCGGGUUAAGUCCCAUAACGAGCGCAACCCCUAUCAUUAGUUGCCAUCAGGUCAAGCUGGGGACUCUAAUGAAACUGCCUACGCAAGUAGUGAGGAAGGUGGGGAUGACGUCAAAUCAGCACGGCCCUUACGUCCAGGGCUACACACGUGUUACAAUGGCCAGUACAGAGGGCAGCCACCCCGCGAGGGGGCGCUAAUCCUAAAAGCUGGUCCCAGUUCGGAUCGGAGUCUGCAACCCGACUCCGUGAAGCUGGAUUCGCUAGUAAUCGCGCAUCAGCCACGGCGCGGUGAAUACGUUCCCGGGCCUU